CCUACGGGUGGCAGCAGUGAGGAAUAUUGGUCAAUGGACGAGAGUCUGAACCAGCCAAGUAGCGUGAAGGAUGACUGCCCUAUGGGUUGUAAACUUCUUUUAUAUGGGAAUAAAAUGUUCCACGUGUGGGAUUUUGUAUGUACCAUAUGAAUAAGGAUCGGCUAACUCCGUGCCAGCAGCCGCGGUAAUACGGAGGAUCCGAGCGUUAUCCGGUUUUAUUGGGUUUAAAGGGAGCGUAGGUGGAUUGUUAAGUCAGUUGUGAAAGUUUGCGGCUCAACCGUAAAAUUGCAGUUGAAACUGGCAGUCUUGAGUACAGUAGAGGUGGGCGGAAUGCGUGGUGUAGCGGUGAAAUGCUUAGAUAUCACGAAGAACUCCGAUUGCGAAGGCAGUUCACUGGACUGCAACUGACACUGAGGCUCGAAAGUGUGGGUAUCAAACAGGAUUAGAUACCCUUGUAGUC
rnacentral:rRNA from 1 species